rnacentral:lncRNA from 1 species
AGCACAUUUAAAAAAAAAAAUAUUUUUUGCUGUAUUGUUUCCAACCACUUACUUACUUGAAAAAAAACCCUGCCAUUUUACGUUUUAUAAAGUUCCAUUUGAAAGAAGUUUCAUAUACAAGUUGACUGAAAGUUACAUAGCUCCUAUGUGCACUGCAGGGAUGAGUAACUUCAUAAUCAACAAACCAAACCAUAAAUCAACAUCGAGUAUUACUGAGACUAAUUGGUUUAGCUGAGAUAUCUAUCUUAGCUGUGGCAGCAUCUUAGGCUGACUCAGCCAGGCUGAAAAACACAGGAAUUAUAGACUAAAAUCCUCAACCCACAAGAAUCAUAGAUUGAAAACAGUGAAAAUGAUUGCAAAAGGAAUAUUACAGAAGACUUGGAGAACCUCUGCUGGACCUGUCCCCUUCCUACAGUUUCUUGUUUCACUUUAUGAUCUGCAUUAUAGAAUCAUAGAAUGGUGUGGGUUGGAAGGGACCUAAGAAGAUGCAACUGCCUAAGUAGGACGAGUCCAGCCUGUGCAGAACCAGGGUACAUGUCCCUCACAAUCUGCAGGCUUAUGAGGUCUUGCUUCAGGACUUCGACUAUUAACUGAGAGCUUCAUUUAAAGAUUUAUCACCUCUACAUUGAUUUCAGUACACUUGCACGAAAACUUCCAAUAGUCUGCUAUUACAGGAAGAGAGCCAGCUGGCCUCACCUAACUAUUUUCUCUUUUCAAUAGGCUCUUAACAGAAUUCUUCCUUCAAGGAACAACUCUCCUCAACACUGCUUCUCUAGUGGCAUUUUGGUGGCAGAUUAUAAAUAUAUUUAAUUAUAAUUGAAAUUGGCAAAAAAAACACAAAACAAACAGUAAAUGUAUUGCAUAGGUUUAAAUGUACUUCAAGGGUGAAAAGUCUAGAACCCAGGGCAGAGAGAAUAAGUUUUAUGUUGGAGGUUUUCCCUAAUAUGAAGCCUUUAAGAUGAAAGUGGUGUAACACUUAAAGAAGCUGUAAGGUUCAAGCAAGAACUGCCUACGAAAGUCUGGGCUUUGUGUAAUGUGGUCAGUCACGACAGAUGUUGUAUGCAUGACAAGCUAUGCCGUUGCUUGUCUGAAAUGUCUUAAGUAUCAGAUAUGCCAAAUAUUUCAGACUAUUACAAAAACCCAAACCAAACCAAAACCAUCCCUGCCAUUUUUCUAUGCUUUCAAAUUAUCUUUUCCCUGUUCCAUGGCAUUGUUAAGCGCUUUUGUUAUCUCUGUUAAUGCUGAAGGAAAAGUAGGAGAGAUCCAUUACAAGUUUCAGCAACUGAUUGAGCUACUUAAGUUCUAGAGUUAAGUUGAUAUUACUUCUGUUCACUUCUGUUACCUAUUUCUGAAGUACAGUUGUUUCUCCUUGAGUAACAAGGUAACAAACAUGCACUUGCAUGCAAUUUAUUAGACAGGUUAUGCUUUCAUGAUUUCAAGCAAUGGAGUUAGCACACCUUACUAAAUUAACAGCUUUCAGAUGAAAACUGCUACGACUUGGGUGGCAUGCAAUAGCUGAGCAUGUGGAUGUUACUAGUCUGUAGCAAUGCAUAGAAAAUGGGCUAGCUGAAGCCAUCGUUGUUCUCAGUACUGCUGGGUGACAUCUAUUUCUUCCUCAGAGAUGAGACUAGAAUUCGCAAACUCUUGCAUUAUGAUUAAAUUCUAAUAUUAAUGCAUUUCAUUCCCAUGAAUAUGCUUUAAACUAAAUUUAAUAUCCUAGUUCUCUUAAUUAUCACAGCAAAGUACAAUCUCCUCUCUAGCUAGGACUGAGAAUAAUUUUCUGCUUAAAGGUCAACCAUUCUUAGUCUAAAAUCUGCACAAUUAUUAGACUUCACAGUGGUUUGAAGAAGGGAGGAAGGGACAGAACUACAGAUCCAGAUGUGGUAUCAUUUAAGAAAGUCAAAAUGAGUAACUGCACUCUAAGAACCAUUGUUUUUAUGCCUAUAUCUUCAGUGUGACCUUAAACAGUAAAAGAUCUUAGACAGGGAAGAAAUAUCAAAAGUUUUAUUGAAAGAAGAGAUAGUAUUUCUGAGCUGCUGCAGGAAAUACCCUCCCCACCCCCAAAACAUGUGUACAAGUAUUUCUAGAAAAGCUUAUUUCAUUUAACCUUUGGGAAACUAGGACCUUAAACCUCUGCUACAUCCUGAAACAUACUAAGUUUGAAAGUCAGGUGCCAGAAAAAGCUCUGUGCAUAUUGUUACUGUUCACUUCAGCUAGGAGAGAGAGAAGAUAAACAUGCUGUGAGGUGUGGGAAGAAAAAAAGAGAGCUACUCUUCAGACUUUAAUUGAGUUGGUAAUUUUUUUAUGUCAGAAUAGCCACAUAAAAUUGGGAGUCUGGAUACACAAGAGUGAAAUUAUAUAUAUAUUUUUCUAUAUCUUGACUUUGUUUAGAAGUUUCUCUCCAUAUAACCAGUGACUAAUGAGCACUAUGCGAUUAAGCUAACGAGUAGAAAGUAUCAAUCCUAAUAGAAUAUUCAGAUGAAUGCCUUCUCUCUCAAGAGCCAUUACAAGCAACCUGACCAAUUAUUUCAAUUACCCCAGCUUUCUUCAAUUUUUUAAGGACAGAAAAUAACAAUUUUGUCUGUGCGUGCUGUAAAUAGAUUCUGAAGGUAAACAGAGAAAUAAAUGAAGAAACAAAUUAAGAACAGAGUUUAAAAGCCCAUUGUAAGGCUAAACUUCUGUUCUGAACUGCUCACCAGUGGAUCUCAGGAAGUUGAACUCUGCAAAGAAGUGACACAUGGUCUUAAAUAUUCACUUACAUCCUUGAUGGCAAAUAUGAACUCAUACGCCCAUAUAUUCCCCACUGAAAGGCUCACGAAGGUAUAAAGGCAAAACUUCCUACUCUAUAAGCAUUUAAAAUGCAUUUAUGAGUUCUGCAGAGUGAAUAACUGACAUGACUUACUCUUGGGUGCAGUUCUCUCUCCCAGGAGACUAAAUACCCAAAUGAGUCUGUAAGGAGAGAAGCAAAGAACUUUGCUUACCUGGGGAUCUCACACAAUAAGACACUACUCUGCCUCUCCUCAGGCUCCACUAAUCCCAACCAACAAAAUAGUUAGAGUUAACAAACUAUAAGAAUUAUUUUUAACAACGAGAUUUAAAAAUAAAUCCUUAGUUGUUCUACUUGCCUUUUGGACUUUGACGUUUCAAAAUCUUCAUUUUUGUUAUGUGAGAAUUAGCAAUCUUUACUCAUAACCUACAAUUAUGAAUAGUAAUGACCAAUAGGAUUCAGUCACACUUCCCUGACUCACAGGUCCUAGGAUUCUGUGGAAAAGAAGUGCUAUUUAGCAUAUUCUUUGACUUUAAAUUUGAAGGAAAUAUACAUUUGAGCAUGGUUUUAGUACGGAAAAAUUCACAUGAAAUAACAGAGUAAAAUCCAUUAUUCACUGCAGUUCAUUAAAUGAGUGCUGCAGCAUUUUUAGAAUGAUCAACUUGUAUAGAUUAAUGGUUUUGUCCAGCCUAUCCUUUCAGAAGAACCAGCCUCUAUAUUGCUUUUAAUUGUUUUGCUGAUUAUUACACACCAUACCCUACCUUGAAAUCAGCCCUUUUCUAUGUUUAGAACCUGGAACAGGAUCCAAAAUCACUUGUGGCUUAACAGAAGAAUCCAGGAUGUGAAACUCGAAAAAGUACUAUUACUAUUUAAUGUCCAGUUUUUACUGGAUAACAACCUUUUGUUGAAGUAGGGUAGUCUUCUGACCCCAUUAGCAGAAGAAUACCAACUUCAGAGAACAGCUAGAAUAGAAACAUUGCUUCAGGAGAUGCUAGCUAGGCAUGGGCCAACUUCCAAAUUCAUAAUCCUCUGGUGUAAAUUUCAAGUAGCCCCAUUGACUUCUGCUAACUCCACUGGAGUUCCUGUGGGAGUGAAACCAGGGUGAGGUCAGAAUCUGGCAGCUCGUUACUGAAUGCUGUCCAUGUCACAUGCUGACUGCUUUCUAAAAGUAAUCCUACUACAAGAGUUAGUUGUGUUUAGUCCAAAAUUCACACUGUCUGUUAAGAUAAGAGUUGUGGUGGAGGUGGAUUUUAACUUCGUGCUAAAGUGAAGCCUAAAGGUGAUUUUGAACAUUUGCCACCCAGAAUAGUAACCCUAAAUUUGCACUGCAACCUUCAUUUCACUCUCCAGUUCCAAAACAAUUCAGGAAUAUGUUGCCAAGCUUAUUUCUUUCUUUUUUUCUUUUUUUACACUCAGUGUGAUGUCUCAUUGUUUUCCACUGUGAAACAGCUCUUCGCCGUCACCUUGCUAUUUGUAGAAUAAGAUCUGAUUACAGCAAUAGGGCAAGAUGGUUCUGAAACUAUUUGCUGAUUUACAGACCAACAGAAAACCAAACUCACCUUAGUGUAAAGCAAUGUAGUUCAAAGAAUAACUUAAGACCAAUUAAUUUGAAAGGACUGCAAGGAUUCUUCUGCUGUUUAGGGACUGCCAGCUGCUCGAUUUUGCCUUGUGCCAAACCCCCACAGGAGUCUUCUUUAAAAUUGGUAACCGAGGGAAAGAAGUAGCAGAAGGGAAGGAAACAUAAAAAGAUUUACACCUGACAUUUUUUUUCUAUAUGAGAGAUCCUCUUUUUUUGCUGCAAAAGUGGUAUUGAGAGCUAUCUCCAGGCCAAGGCUAGCCAGUGUGCCUAGGAAACAAAGUCAGGGCAAGCGUUACCACAUUGCAAGAACUUAGGCCAUUGCUAAAUGCUCAUCUUUUCAGUAAUACUAACAACUGAAAAUGAGUGCUAAACACUGUCUCUGCAUGGUUAGAAGUCAAUAUCUUUUCUUAGGAAAAAAAAA